rnacentral:misc_RNA from 1 species
AGGAUGCAACUCAUCGUUUCUUUGGGCUACCAGCAGCUGUAAAGAGGAAUUACUCCAAGGAGCUUUCUCCUUCUAACAGUGUCAGGUUUGGUACUAGCUUUAGUCCUGAUUCUGAGAAGGCUCUUGAAUGGAAGGAUUACCUCAGCCUCUUCUAUGUCUCUGACGAUGAGGCUUCUGCAUUGUGGCCUCCUGAGUGCAAGGAUGAAUGCUUGGAAUACAUGAAGAAAGCAGAAAUUCUAUGCAGAAAGCUGUUAACUGCACUAAUGGAGAGACUCAAUGUAAAAGAAAUAGAUGAAAAAAAAGAAUCUCUUUUAAUGGGCUCCAGAAGGAUCAACCUCAACUACUAUCCAAGAUGUCCAAACCCUCAACUCACUGUAGGGGUAGGCCGCCAUUCCGAUGUCUCCUCCCUCACUUUCCUCCUCCAAGAUGAAAUUGGUGGACUUUACGUGCGAGUAAACGAAGGUAAAGGCGAAGAAGAUGGUUGGGUUCAUGUUCCUCCCAUUGAAGGAUCUCUGGUGAUCAACGUCGGAGACGCACUGCAGAUACUAAGCAAUGGUCGAUACAAGAGCGUAGAGCAUUGUGUGAUUGCGAGUGGGAACAAGAACAGAAUUUCCAUCCCUGUUUUCGUCAAUCCAAAGCCAAGUGAUGUGAUCGGACCGUUGCCGGAAGUUCUUGCCUCCGGAGAGAAGCCUAAAUACAAGAACAUUUUAUACUCUGAUUAUGUGAAGCAUUUCUUCAGGAAGGCUCAUGAUGGGAAGAAGACUGUGGAGUUUGCUGAGGUGUAAUAAUUUUUCCUCUACCAGUUUAUGUCACUGC